ACAACCCUAAGGCCUUCUUCACACACGCGGCAUGGCUGGAUCAGGGUUUCCCCCAUUGUCCAAUAUUCCCCACUGCUGCCUCCCGUAGGAGUCUGGACCGUGUCUCAGUUCCAGUGUGGCUGAUCAUCCUCUCAGACCAGCUAAAGAUCGUCGCCUUGGUAGGCCUUUACCCUACCAACUAGCUAAUCUUACGCAGGCUCAUCCAAUAGUGACCGGUCCGAAGAUCCCGGCCUUUCCCCCUUAGGGCGUAUGCGGUAUUAAUCCGAGUUUCCUCGGGCUAUCCCCCUCUACUGGGUAGAUUCCUACGCGUUACUCACCCGUCCGCCGCUCGACGCCUGGGAGCAAGCUCCCAUCGUUUCCGCUCGACUUGCAUGUGUUAAGCCUGCCGCCAGCGUUCAAUCUGAGCCAGGAUCAAACUCU
rnacentral:rRNA from 1 species